UUGGGGUUAAGGCUGUGGCUGUCUGUCUGUUUGUUGGCCUGAUUCUCUCACAUCCUUUUGUUGAUUUAUACCAAAGGUGGUAUGUCAGUGAUGAAUG